GCCUGCUUAGCAUAGUGGCUAAUGCGUUGCACUUGUAUCUAUCGACGAUAUGCAAAGAUCACAGGUUCGAUUCCUGUAGUAGGCA